ACUCCUACGGGAGGCAGCAGUGGGGAAUAUUGCACAAUGGGGGGAACCCUGAUGCAGCAACGCCGCGUGGAGGAUGACACAUUUCGGUGCGUAAACUCCUUUUAUAUAGGAAGAUAAUGACGGUACUAUAUGAAUAAGCACCGGCUAACUCCGUGCCAGCAGCCGCGGUAAUACGGAGGGUGCAAGCGUUACUCGGAAUCACUGGGCGUAAAGCGCGCGCAGGCGGCCUUUUAAGUUGGAUGUG
rnacentral:rRNA from 1 species